rnacentral:tRNA from 1 species
GGGAAUGUGGCUUAGUGGUAGAGCAUUUGCUUGGUAUGUAUGAGACCCUGGGUUCAAUCCACAGCACCA